UUCGAGAACAAAAAACAUGGAUAAGGAUACCUAUGAUGAACAGUGAAUUGAUUCGUUUCCAAAUUCUUCGUUAAAUUUCAUCUUUAUAUAUAGUUAAAGAGGAAGACGAAGACAAAGCAUCAAAGCAUCCUCCCAUUCCCAUCUCUCUCGUCCGAUUCUCUGCACCCAUUUGAAGCUUCCAUUCUUCUUCCCUCGCAUCCAUCUGAUUACAAUGGCCAUUAAUCACCUCCUUCGUUCCACUCUCAGGUCUCAGUUUGGUAUCUUAGGAAAAGCCGUCACUUCUUCUAGAAGAGCCUCACAGGAACAUGGCAUCUUGGCUCCUUUCUUGUCCCGCUUACACAGUACAGAGGCUUCAGCACAAAAGGAGGAUUCAAGGUUCAAGGGGCAUGAUAUGCUUGCACCUUUUACUGCAGGAUGGCAGACCACCGAUGUUAAUCCACUAAUUAUAGAAAGAUCUGAGGGUUCAUAUAUAUAUGACAUUGAUGGAAGGAAGUACCUUGAUUCUCUUGCCGGCCUAUGGUGCACAUCUUUAGGGGGAAAUGAACCACGACUUGUUGCAGCUGCAACGAAACAAUUAAAUAUCUUGCCAUUUUACCACUCCUUUUGGAAUCGUACUACGAGGCCUUCUUUGGAUCUGGCAAAGGAACUGCUCGAAAUGUUUACAGCUAGAAAAAUGGGGAAAGUAUUUUUUGUGAACAGUGGUUCAGAAGCCAAUGAUACUCAGGUGAAGCUGGUAUGGUACUAUAACAAUGCACUUGGAAGACCAAAUAAGAAAAAGUUCAUUGCUCGCUCAAAGGCGUAUCAUGGUUCAACAUUAAUAUCAGCUAGUCUUACUGGCCUUCCAGCUUUGCACCAGAAGUUUGACAUUCCAGCUCCAUUCGUUCUGCACACCGAUUGUCCACAUUACUGGCGUUACCAUCUUCCAGGUGAGACAGAGGAAGAGUUUUCAACCAGAUUAGCCAAAAACUUAGAAGACCUUAUAAUCAAGGAGGGACCAGAAACGAUUGCUGCGUUCAUAGCUGAACCUGUCAUGGGGGCUGGUGGUGUGAUUCCUCCACCAGCUACUUAUUUUGAAAAGAUCCAAGCUGUGGUCAAGAAGUAUGAUAUACUUUUUGUCGCCGAUGAGGUCAUAUGUGCCUUUGGAAGACUAGGGACAAUGUUUGGAUGUGAUAAAUACAAUAUCAAACCAGAUCUUGUAUCCCUUGCAAAGGCACUUUCCUCAGGUUACAUGCCUAUUGGAGCUGUUAUUGUAAGCCCCGAAAUCUCUGAUGUGAUUCACUCUCAAAGCAACAAGCUAGGUUCCUUUUCUCAUGGAUUUACUUAUUCUGGACACCCGGUCGCAUGUGCUGUUGCAAUUGAAACACUCAAGAUUUACAAGGAAAGGAAUAUUGUGGAUAAAGUAAAUAGCAUCUCCUCAAGAUUUCAAGAUGGCCUAAAAGCUUUCUCUGAUAGCCCUAUCGUUGGAGAGAUACGGGGGACUGGCUUGAUCUUAGGCACAGAGUUCGUAGACAAUAAAUCACCAAAUGAUCCAUUCCCUCCUGAAUGGGGAGUUGGUGCAUAUUUUGGAGCCGAAUGUCAGAAAAAUCGUAUGCUAGUUCGUGUUGCAGGGGAUACUAUAAUGAUGUCACCACCAUUUAUCAUCUCUCCUCAAGAAGUUGAUGAGUUAAUCAGCAUUUAUGGGAAGGCACUGAAGGCUACGGAAGAGAGAGUUAAGGAGUUGAAGGCUCAGAGGUAGCUCCAAAUAGUUCACAACGAAUGGCCUGAAGGAAUCUACUCAUUUUUAGUAGAUACUCGCAAGGAACAAAGAAGUCCUUAUCCCUGAUGGCCAAAUGCUUGAUGGUGGCGAAACGUUGAUCAGCUUGUGUCUUAAGACAUGAGUGGCUAGUCUCUCCAGUUCAUUCACACAGGGUACUCGAUUCCACUGGCUGUCAGCGGUGUUGGCGGAGCUGCGAGAUAAUAGAUCAACGAGAACGACGUGGAACAGAGGAAGGAUUCACUAUAUAGGUGCAGAGGAGGGAGUGACAAAUGCUUAGCCGGCUCGAUUUGCGGCGGAUAUGGACAGGUUUUCGAGGGCAUAGGGUUGGAGAAGGUUUUUUACGAGAGAGGGAAAUUUGGUGAAUGGACAAUUUUGCCCCUUUUCUUUUAAUUGAAGAUCAACCAACACAAGGACAUGAUUGCAACACUUAAUAAACUUUGGGGUUAAUUGAUCAAUCUAAAAGUUUAUGGGUGUAAUCGUAACAAAUCUCAUAGUUCAGGGUUGAUUUGUGCAAUUUUUCCCUGUUCUUAUUUAGGUCAUAGUUUCGAUUCUGAUCGAGGUACAUCGAGACGAAUCAUUAAAACAAUCUAGAAAAGGUGCUAUGUUAAUGGUUUUUUUUUUGUUAUUUUAACAAUUAUCUAA